rnacentral:rRNA from 1 species
UACGGGGGGUGCGAGCGUUGUCCGGAAUCACUGGGCGUAAAGGGCGCGUAGGUGGUUUGAUAAGGGUGUGGUGAAAGUCCGGGGCUCAACCCCGGAUCUGCCGUGCCGACUGUCAAACUCGAGGGCUGUAGAGGCAGACGGAAUUCCGGGUGUAGCGGUGGAAUGCGUAGAGAUCGGCAGGAACACCAGUGGCGAAGGCGGUCUCCUGGGGCAUUCUUGACGCUGAGGCGCGAAAGCUGGGGGAGCGAACGGG